rnacentral:rRNA from 1 species
UGCCAGCAGCCGCGGUAAUACGUAGGGGGCAAGCGUUGUCCGGAUUUACUGGGUGUAAAGGGCGCGCAGGCGGCCAGGUAAGUCGAAUGUGAAAGCCCCCGGCUCAACUGGGGAGGGUCGUUCGAUACUGCUUGGCUUGAAGAUAGGAGAGGGAAGUGGAAUUUCAGGUGUAGUGGUGAAAUGCGUAGAUAUCUAUCGGAACGCCAAAGGUGAAGACAGACGACUGGGCCUGAUCUGACGCUGAGGUACGAAAGCGUGGGGAGCGAACGGGAUUAGAUA